UCCUCUUUAGUGUAACGGUCAGCACAUAACUCUCUGAAAGUUAGGGUUGUGGUUCGAAUCCACAAAGAGGAACAA
rnacentral:tRNA from 1 species